CAUUGGUCAGUUUACUGGGGCUCUCCUGGGAAAGGAACUUUGUCCUUGGGCCACUAGCGCUGACCACUCCCUCGCUGGAGGCUGGGCUGAGCAUACACUGCGCACUAGUGCAGUCAGCCCUUCCUCUGGGAGGCCAGCACUGGUCAUGGAAGACCCACAGCUUCAAGGUCAGUCUGUGUCAGGUUGAGAACGUGCCUGCUGUCUCUGCCCACCCAGGCCAGCAUCAGCCCACAGCCUGGCAGUGGCAGUGUCAGCAGAGCGGGUUCGCUGCACAAGUCCACUGUUCAGUCAGAGGAGAAGCCCGAGACAACUGUAUCCCGGCUUGAGCGAAGAGAACAGCUGAAAAAGGCCAACACCCUUCCGACAUCUGUGACAGUGGAAAUCUCAGAUUCCGCUCCCCCGGCACCACUGGUAAAAGAAGUCCCCAAGAGAUUCUCCACCCCUGAUGCUGCCCCGGUGUCUACAGAACCAGCCUGGCUGGCAUUGGCCAAAAGAAAAGCAAAGGCCUGGAGCGACUGUCCACAGAUUAUUAAGUAGAGUGACUCAUCCAUUCCUGGUGCCAGUUCUUGGCUCCUCUCUUGCCCUUUUUAUUUAUUUAUUUUUUUAUAUGAAGUAAAGAAAGCAAACUAGGUGAAAGAAGCAUGUUUUAUAGGCGCUCAAGUAAUGUUUAGAAACUGAACUGGUGGUGUUCAUUGUGAAGAGUGUAUUUGCACAACCCUGGGUCCUGGUGCCUUGAGCUUCCCUAGUUCUCAAGAGACAAUUCCGUGCAAGGGACCACAUGAAGUCAAAUCUGCAAACUGAGCUCCUCCAGAGAGAGAGCCUGCUGCACCCAUUCCCCCCAACCCCACUGCAGAGGCACACCCACAUGCCCUUCAGAACAUGUACUUUUGCCAAUCUUUGUGAAAGUUUUUGAUUCUCCUGGUUUCUUCUUUCUGAAGCAUUUGCCCUACCAGAUGUUUGGGUAUGUCUGCCAUUUCUACAGUAAAGGUAAAAAGAUCACAUAUAGAGAAAACAGAAUGCCAUCUUCCGAAUGCAGUAAGUCACUAGGAUUCACAAGGAAGAGUCCGGCUCCUAGCUCUGUGCCUCUGUCUGCUUUUUAUAAAUUGCCCACCCAGAAGCUGGCACAUGGAAGCAAAUCCACUCACACUUCCACCACACUAGAUGCAGUGUGAUCAGCAUAGUGUGAGGCCCAUCACACCAGUACCCUCUUUAAGGACAUGUGAAACAUUUGGCCCAAAUGGCUCCUAGGGGACAUUUUUCUUUAAUAUGGUGAAGAAAGAAAAUUCUGUAUCAGAGUUACCAAAGCACUCUCUCUGUCUCGAAGACUCUCCAUCUACUGCAGUGGUUCUUCAGAUGUCCAGGCUGCAUCCUAGGCCUACUGACCCGAUCCCAGGACAGGGCCAGGGGAGCACAUGCUGGCAGACACUCUUUAGAUGCAUUCUGGUCUGUCCUGAGGGUUCAAACCCUUUGGACACACUGAUUCUAGGGCAGUCUAGUUUUCCAGACUCUGAGAGGAGGUUCAUUCACCCAAAGAAGCAAAAGAUGGGAAAAAAAUAACCACACAAACCAGCCAUUUAUUACAAGAUAUGACAGGCUACUGACAUUGUAUGUCUCUGAAAAUUCCCUUGGGUCUUUAGAGAAAAUUAAUAGGAAGCCAAGAUCUACAGCUUUUGUACUAGGACUCUAAUCAAAUAAUUCAUAUUUAGAGUCAAAUGUUCAGUAGCAUUUAUAAUUUAGAGCAUUCACCUUGCUACCUUUAAAAAAAAUCUGUUUUAAGUGGCCUUGUUAUCAUACACAUGUGCAUUCAAAGAAGGGACUUGGCAGUUUCAAAGCCACAUUUACUUUUAUUUUCCUAAAUUUGCUUUACAUGAAACAUAGACAUACCAGCAAAUCCCCUAUAUACUGCUGGCACUAACUUUGUACGUUAUGGUAUUGACAUAUUUCCCUUUUCCUGGAUUCUUACUCCCAAAUACAGGUGCAAAUUCUUUGCCUAGUGCAGAGUGAAUUACAUCCUUUUUUUCUCUUACAAAAACACAUUUUAUAGUAUUCAUCAUUUAUUUAUGCUUACUCAAUAUGCAGUGUGAUGUUAUGCUGUCAUUUCCUAAAUGACAGAAAAGUUAUUUACCAUAUUCUUUCUAGAAACAAUGGCUCAGCUUCACUGUAGCAGCUGGCAUGUGUGGUCAAGUGGAUAGUUGUAUUCUUGCAAGUUGGGUUUAAUAUUAUAUAUACUGGACCUUCAGAAUGUUAAGAAUCAAUGUAAUAUUUUUAUUGCUAUUGGAAGCAGUUAAUAUUCCACUGCACGUUUUCAACACUGAUGUUCAUUUCUAAAUCAUAUAGGUAGGCAUUUGUUAAUUCAGUGAUUUCCUCACUGAUAUAACACUUUUUAAUGGCAAUCUUUCCACCUAUAGCCCUGGAGUUAUAGUACUAUCUUAAUUCUUCCAAAUGGACUUUUUCUUUCAUCCUGUCAGCUUUACACUGUAGUGGCAGGGAACAGGUGAGGAAAUAAGAUCAUUAAAGAAUGGUACAUGAAUCAGGUGUACUAGCUCAGGUACCAACUAGGCCAUACAAAGUAUGUUCCUUCAACCAGGUAUGGUGGCACACACCUGUAAUCCCAGCUCUUCUGGAGGCUGAGUCAGGAAGGUAAGUUCAAGGGCCAGCCUGGGCACCUUGGCAAGAGCCUGUCUCAACAUAAAAUUUUAAAAGUGCUGGGGAUAUAUAACUCAGUGAUCCCUGGGUUCAGUCCCCACCACUAAAAAAAAAAAAAAAAAAAAAAAAGAUCCUUCAAAAAGUUUUCAAAAGAAGAGUCUACUGAGGAAAGGACAGUUGCAGUACUUCUACCAACUUCUAAAGGUACAUGUUUAACAUUUCAUUAUACAUCCAUCUCAAAUUUGCACUAAAUACCACUGAAGUGUUAUUUUGCUUUGGUUAUGUUGCAGUCUUUUCUGAGCAACAAAUUAUGGGGAAAUUCUGUAAAAACACAAAGUUCAAGAUAGUCUUUUCUUUUUAAAAUGAACAUUAUGUUAGAUAAUUUUUUUUUUUUUGGUACCAGGGAUCGAACUUGGGUCCUUACGCUUGCGCAGCAGGUGGCGAAACCACUGAGCUAAAUCCCUGGCCCAUGUUAGAUAAUUUUGUAAAAAAUUUAAACAAACACACUUCUCCUGGCAAGGUUAUAGAUCUUUAACCUUUGUUCAUAAGCUUAAAUAAAAAACUAGAGUUUUUUUGUUUACUUUUAAAAUUUUUCAAGUGCAAUUGUUUCUUACACAAACAUUACUAUUAUCAUUUUAGCCAGUUAUUGGCAAAUGUGUAGUAUGCAUUCACUGUCUCUUCUUGUGAUGUUUAAUUGCUUAUUUUAAAGCAGAAACAUUAGCUACAAGUGUCUUGCAAUAUUUCUACCAACAAUAACAUUAGUAGAGACUUAAUGAAAAUACUUUAGUGUGACUUUAAUAUUAUUUUGAGAUUUUUGGUUGUAUAAAGUUUUAAUGUAAAAUGUCCAUUACUGAGGGGAAAAGAUCUUUCAAUAAAAAAUACCAACAAGAUUUUUGGCAUUGAUGAAAAAUUUCCUUUUUAAGUUGAAAUUUUUACUAAUUUCAAUGACAAGUGGUCUCAUAUUUACACAGCUUUGUGUGAACAGCAUAAAGUGUUUUAUAUGGUACUUUAUUAUACUUUUCAGUAAGUAUUGGAGAAAAUGAACGAAGAGACAAAUGUUUAUCUCAAUCCCAAACUGGAACUGAAUUGUCCGAGAAAACGAUCCUACUGCCUGCUAACAGUACAGGCCAGGGACGGCAGCAUCAGCGCCAGCAGAGAGCCUGGGCACACGUGGCUUAGGCUGACUGCCCGGCUGGACCAGGCUGAAAGAAGUCAGGUGUGCAAGGCACUUGCCUCAGCUACAGAAACCUCAAUGAACAAGGGAAUGAUAUUUUAACGCAAUAUUUUAAAAAAUCAGAAUUACUGCAAAAAAUUCCACG
rnacentral:lncRNA from 1 species